rnacentral:rRNA from 1 species
CGAACGGUGUCUUCGGACACAGUGGCGGACGGGUGAGUAACGCGUGAGAAUCUGCCAUCAGGUCUGGGACAACCACUGGAAACGGUGGCUAAUACCGGAUGUGCCGAGAGGUGAAAGGUUAACUGCCUGAUGAUGAGCUCGCGUCUGAUUAGCUAGUUGGCAGUGUAAUGGACUACCAAGGCGACGAUCAGUAGCUAGUCUGAGAGGAUGAUCAGCCACACUGGGACUGAGACACGGCCCAGACUCCUACGGGAGGCAGCAGUGGGGAAUUUUCCGCAAUGGGCGAAAGCCUGACGGAGCAAUACCGCGUGAGGGAGGAAGGCUCUUGGGUCGUAAACCUCUUUUCUCAGGGAAGAACAAAAUGACGGUACCUGAGGAAUAAGCAUCGGCUAACUCCGUGCCAGCAGCCGCGGUAAUACGGAGGAUGCAAGCGUUAUCCGGAAUGAUUGGGCGUAAAGCGUCCGCAGGUGGCAGUUCAAGUCUGCUGUCAAAGACCGGGGCUCAACCUCGGAAAGGCAGUGGAAACUGAACAGCUAGAGUAUGGUAGGGGCAAAGGGAAUUCCUGGUGUAGCGGUGAAAUGCGUAGAGAUCAGGAAGAACACCGGUGGCGAAGGCGCUCUGCUAGGCCGCAACUGACACUGAGGGACGAAAGCUAGGGGAGCGAAUGGGAUUAGAUACCCCAGUAGUCCUAGCCGUAAACGAUGGAUACUAGGCGUGGCUUGUAUCGACCCGAGCCGUGCCGAAGC